rnacentral:rRNA from 1 species
CACACCAAGAUCGAGCAGCAGCAAAGACGAGCAGUGCAGUCUAGAGCGCAGGAGUCAACAGUGCGACCGAAGAUAGGGAGCCACGACGCGACGCGGCGGCCACUGAUGGCGGCACCGGCGGCGAGGAGCGUGGGGGUGGCGGAGCGGGCGCUGCGCGGGGUGGCGGAUCUGAUCAAGCUGCUGCCGAGCGGCACGGUGUUCAUGUUCCAGUUCCUCAGCCCGCUCGUCACCAACAACGGCCACUGCGCCGCCUACAACAAGGUGCUCUCCGGCGCGCUCCUCGCGCUCUGCGGCGCCUUCUGCGCCUUCUCCUCCUUCACCGACAGCUACGUCGGCUCCGACGGCAGGGUCUACUACGGCGUCGUCACGCGCCGCGGGAUGCGCACCUUCUCCACCGACCCGGACGCCGGCGCCGCCAGGGACCUGUCCGGGGACACCGUGUCCUGCCUCUACCCGGCGUUGGAGGCCGGCGAGAGGACCAUGAUGGCCGUGCUGCCGCCGGUCGUCGGCGGCGUCGCCAGCUACGCCUUCAUGAUGUUCCCCAACAACCGCCACGGCAUCGGCUACCAGCCCACGCGCGCAACCGAGGACUUCGAGCACAAGCACUAGCUUGCUACUCCUGGCUAAUCCAUGGCGUGGCCUGAACUGAAUUGAUUCAUUCUUGUCAAUUUCUUCGCAGUGUUUGCGUGAUCAACUUGGUCAAAGUGUGGUGGUGUGAUCUGUGAUGUUUGAGUGACGUGUCGUCGCCUUGUAGUUCUUGAUUUCUCAAAGCUUGUACUGAUAUAUACUGUGAUGCACUGGAGGUUAACGCGCGCUUCGCCGCCGCGUCGUUCUUUACUAGUGGGAAUAACUCUUU